rnacentral:tRNA from 1 species
GCGGAAAUCCCUCAGUGGUAGAGCACCACCUUGCCAAGGUGGGGGUCGCGGGUUCGAACCCCGUUUUCCGCA